UACGUAGGGUGCGAGCGUUAAUCGGAAUUACUGGGCGUAAAGCGUGCGCAGGCGGUGAUGUAAGACAGAUGUGAAAUCCCCGGGCUCAACCUGGGAACUGCAUUUGUGACUGCAUCGCUGGAGUACGGCAGAGGGGGAUGGAAUUCCACGUGUAGCAGUGAAAUGCGUAGAGAUGUGGAGGAACACCGAUGGCGAAGGCAGCCCCCUGGGACCUGACUGACGCUCAUGUACGAAAGCGUGGGGAGCAAACAGG
rnacentral:rRNA from 1 species